UUUCUGCUUCAUCCAGGCUGGUCUUGAUAUACCUUAAGCAGUGCUUCUUCUGCACCUCAGCUCCCCCUCUGCUCUCACCACCCAGAUCCCCCUAUCCUCGAAUUCCAGGUUCAGGUGCCAUAGCUUUCUACUGAAGCAGUGUUUCUCCACAUCAGCCUAACAGGAAUGACAAAUCAAAAUGAAG